UCCUCUGUAGUUCAGUCGGUAGAACGGCGGACUGUUAAUCCGUAUGUCACUGGUUCGAGACACGGCAGCGGAGACA
rnacentral:tRNA from 1 species